UACGUAGGGGGCGAGCGUUGUCCGAAGUUACUGGGCGUAAAGCGCGCGUAGGCGGUCUAUUAAGUCUGAGGUGAAAGGUUCAGCGCUCGACGCGAACAGUGCCUUGGAUACUGGUAGACUUGAGUGUGGCAGAGGAGUAUGGAAUUCCUGGUGUAGCGGUGAAAUGCGUAGAUAUCAGGGGGAAUACCGAUGGCGAAGGCAGUACUCUGGGCUAACACUGACGCUGAGGUGCGAAAGCGUGGGGAGCAAACGGG
rnacentral:rRNA from 1 species